GACGAACGCUGGCGGCGUGGAUUAGGCAUGCAAGUCGAACGGUAUCAUCCUUUCGGGGGUGAGAGAGUGGCGAACUGGUGAGUAACACGUAGGUUAUCUACCCUCAAGACGGGGACAACCCAGGGAAACUUGGGCUAAUACCGGAUGUGAGCAACUUUUAGUUGUUUGAAAGGUGGCGUAAGCUGUCGCUUGGGGAUGAGCCUGCGUCCUAUUAGUUAGUUGGUGAGGUAACGGCUCACCUAGGCAAUGAUAGGUAGGCGGCCUUAACGGGUGGUCGCCCACACUGGGAUUGAGAUACGGCCCAGACUCCUACGGGAGGCAGCAGUCGAGAAUAGUCUACAAUGGUCGGAAGACUGAUAGUGCGACGCCGCGUGAACGAUGAAUCCCUUCGGGUGUAAAGUUCUUUUAUAUGUGAGCAGUGCUUCUUAUAUUAACAGUAUGGGGAGAGAGAUAUUAGCAUAUGAAUAAGCAACGGCUAACUCCGUGCCAGCAGCCGCGGUAAAACGU
rnacentral:rRNA from 1 species